rnacentral:rRNA from 1 species
GAUGAACGCUGGCGGCGUGCCUAAUACAUGCAAGUCGAGCGAACAGACGAGGAGCUUGCUCCUCUGACGUUAGCGGCGGACGGGUGAGUAACACGUGGAUAACCUACCUAUAAGACUGGGAUAACUUCGGGAAACCGGAGCUAAUACCGGAUAAUAUAUUGAACCGCAUGGUUCAAUAGUGAAAGACGGUUUUGCUGUCACUUAUAGAUGGAUCCGCGCCGCAUUAGCUAGUUGGUAAGGUAACGGCUUACCAAGGCAACGAUGCGUAGCCGACCUGAGAGGGUGAUCGGCCACACUGGAACUGAGACACGGUCCAGACUCCUACGGGAGGCAGCAGUAGGGAAUCUUCCGCAAUGGGCGAAAGCUUGACGGAGCAACGCCGCAUGAGUGAUGAAGGUCUUCGGAUCGUAACACUCUGUUAUUAGGGAAGAACAAAUGUGUAAGUAACUAUGCACGUCUUGACGGUACCUAAUCAGAAAGCCACGGCUAACUACGUG